GACGAACGCUGGCGGCGUGCCUAAUACAUGCAAGUAGAACGCUGAAGGAGGAGCUUGCUUCUCCGGAUGAGUUGCGAACGGGUGAGUAACGCGUAGGUAACCUGCCUGGUAGCGGGGGAUAACUAUUGGAAACGAUAGCUAAUACCGCAUAAGAGUAGAUGUCGCAUGACAUUUGCUUAAAAGGUGCAACUGCACCACUACCAGAUGGACCUGCGUUGUAUUAGCUAGUUGGUGAGGUAACGGCUCACCAAGGCAACGAUACAUAGCCGACCUGAGAGGGUGAUCGGCCACACUGGGACUGAGACACGGCCCAGACUCCUACGGGAGGCAGCAGUAGGGAAUCUUCGGCAAUGGACGGAAGUCUGACCGAGCAACGCCGCGUGAGUGAAGAAGGUUUUCGGAUCGUAAAGCUCUGUUGUAAGAGAAGAACGAGUGUGAGAGUGAAAAGUUCACACUGUGACGGUAUCUUACCAGAAAGGGACGGCUAACUACGUG
rnacentral:rRNA from 1 species